AAAAGGGGCUUCUGUCGUGAAUGGUACAUGCAGGGAAAUUCAGUUGCUCUUCAUGUGGAAUUGACAUCAAGAGAUUUUAGAAGCAUAAUUUUUUGCUACCUGCACAGUUGGUGACCGGAAAAAAAAAAAGUCAUGUCCCU
rnacentral:snRNA from 1 species